AAAAGAAGAAAAACAAGUGACAUUCAAGGUUGAGCCCCUAAAGCACUUAAUAUGGAAUUCUGACACAAAAACAAAUACCAUGUGGACAAAAGAGGCAAGGCAAGUUCUAGCUGAGUUGAAAGGCGAUGGACCACCUUCAUAAGAGGUUUGCUUAUAGAAUGAAAAAAUGCAAAAGGCUAUCGAGACCAAAAGGAAAUGGUACAAGAGGUUGUCUACAUACCAUAGCUCAAAAGGAAGCAAAGAAGGCAAUGAUUGUUUUGAGCAUUCUUUUGAGCUAUACAAAGGCAUAGCAACAGAGACAACAUUUCGAUAAAAUGUCAUUGACUUGUAAUUGGUCCCCUUUAUGCACUGUCAGCA
rnacentral:misc_RNA from 1 species